UGGUGUGUCUCUUCCAUUUGCUGUAGCAUGUGUGCUCUCUUCCUGCUCUGAAUCUGCACUCCUUAGGAGCGCGCCGCCCCCCCUCCCUCCACCUUCUGUCAGGCAGCGAUGAUGUCACAGGGGGCGGUGCCGGAGGCGUGCCGGGGGGCGGGUCUCAGAGUACUAUAUAAUCUGGCAAUGGCAGAAAGCUCAGUGCGGUCUGCUACUGCUCUGGAGAAGGAAGUGUGAGAGUAUUCAACAAUCGUCCUAACUACCUGCUGCCACCCUGAAUCACUUUCUUUGUUGAUCUAAGCAUGAGCUCACAACAGCCCCAGAAUGCACCAAGAUCUCCGGACAGGUAGGAGGGGUCAACGGGGGCCACAGUUUAAAAGAGUGCGCACCAAGAGCUAAAAGUAGUUUUUCUUGGUUGUCUUUUUAGGAGCAGAAGCCCUAAAAUAAGACAUGAACGGAGAAAGAAGUCCCGCCACCGCUCAAAAUCUCCGCAGGCGUCUGGCUCUCGGGCAACGCAUAAGUCCCAUUCCAGCCCAGCACGCAAAUCCAGUCACUCUGCGACUGUAGCAGAGCAAGAUGGGUCAAGACCCCGCCCAGACGAUGGUCUUUGUUGGGCAUGUUCGGCUCCAUCCGAACCUGGCAAGCUUCUUUGCGCCAGCUGCAUUAAAGAUAUGGCUACAGACCGGGAAGCAGAGGCAAAAAGAAUUAAAGACUAUAUCCAAGACGCAGUAGCAGAGGGUAUUCAGGCAGCCUCAGCUACCAAAACACCUAGAUCAAGGCCCAAAGUUAGUAGCGUCAAUCAGCCAGGACGAGACGAUUCACCUACUCGGGAGACGCUAUCACCAGGCUCAUCGGACUCUGAAGAGCCCUCAGAGUAUUUAUUUGAUUUUCAAUAUAUUGAAUCAUUUGUCACAGCCAUAAGAGAGGCCAUUGACUGGGAUCAGGAUGUUCAGCCGCCUGAAAAAAUUAAAAGAUUUUUUCCUAGCCGUAAGAGACAAGGGGUUACCUUCCCCCUCUUACCAGAAAUCCGAGAAUGGUUCGAGGAAGAAUGGGAAAGGCCAGAAAGAAGGGCAAACGUUCAAAAUCGUUUCUCAAGGUUGUACCCUUUUAAAACUCCAGAGGCAGACCUUUGGGACUCACCAUUGGGCAUAGAUGCGGCCUUACAGCGCUUGGCCAGACAGGUCGCGCUGCCUUUGCAGGAUUCCACGACCUUUAGAGAUCCAAUGGAUAGACGUGCAGACACAGAUCUGAAAAAGGUAUA